rnacentral:rRNA from 1 species
AGUGAACGCUGGCGGUAGACCUAACACAUGCAAGUCGAACGGCAGCACAGUAAGAGCUUGCUCUUACGGGUGGCGAGUGGCGGACGGGUGAGGAAUACAUCGGAAUCUACUUUUUCGUGGGGGAUAACGUAGGGAAACUUACGCUAAUACCGCAUACGACCUACGGGUGAAAGCAGGGGAUCUUCGGACCUUGCGCGAUUGAAUGAGCCGAUGUCGGAUUAGCUAGUUGGGGGGGUAAAGGCCCACCAAGGCGAGGAUCCGUAGCUGGUCUGAGAGGAUGAACAGGCACACUGGAACUUGGAAACGGGCCAGACCCCUACGGGAGGGAGGAGUGGGGGAUAUUGGGAAAUGGGGGGAAACCUGACGCAGCAACGCCGGGUGGGUGAAAAAGGUCUUCGGGUUGUAAAACCCUUUUUGUUGGGAAAAAAAAACGGGAGGUUAACUCCCCGCGUUUUGGCGGGAACCAAAAAGAAAGCCACGGCUAACUUCGGG